UACGACUACAUAUCAGGCAUAUCAAUAAGCGGAGGAAAAGAAACUAACAAGGAUUCCCUUAGUAACGGCGAGUGAAGCGGGAAGAGCUCAAAUUUGAAAUCUUCAAGGUUCUACCUUGACGAAUUGUAGUUUAAAGAAGUGUUUUCUGUUAGAUGAGUAGCAAAAGUUCCUUGGAAUGGGACAUCAUAGAGGGUGAGAAUCCCGUAUUUGGUUAUUCAUUCUAGCUUUGUGAUACACUUUCAAAGAGUCGGAUUGUUUGGGAAUGCAGUCCAAAAUGGGUGGUAAAUUUCAUCUAAAGCUAAAUAUUGGCGAGAGACCGAUAGCGAACAAGUACCGUGAGGGAAAGAUGAAAAGAACUUUGAAAAGAGAGUUAAACAGUACGUGAAAUUGUCAAAAGGGAAGCGUUUGACACCAGUGUUGUUUAGUUGAAAAUCAAUUCAAUAGUUUUUGAUUCUAAGUAGUAUUGACUUCAUCAGCUUGCUGCUUUCUUCCUCAGAAAUUAUUGAAUGCACUUUUCAGUUAACAAGUCAACAUCAAUUUCUUUUGUUGUAAAAGGGUAAGAGGAAGGUGGCUUGCGCUUCGGCUCAAGUGUUUAUAGCCUUUUAUCUCUGCAAUCGGAGAGAUUGAGGUCUGCAGCGUAGAUCCUUCGGGGUUAGAUACAUUGGUGCUAAGCUAUAGCCUUGUAUAGACAACUUGUUGACUAUGCUCAGUCAUGUAGCUUACUCGCUGAUGCUAUUUUACCUACGCUUAGGAUGUUGAGUAGCGACAUACGCAC
rnacentral:rRNA from 1 species